rnacentral:lncRNA from 1 species
CCGAGCAUCCGGGCUCGGGAAGGCGGCCGAAACGGGCCAAGAAGGGGCUGCCAUACCCAUUUUCUGCAGCUGCUGUCCAAGGCGGUUUGAGGCUGAGAGAGGGCAGAUCCGGCGCCGGCUUGGGUCGAAAACGGGCGGAGGAGCUGCGGCGGUGCCGCACGGCCAACGGCGGGGCCUCACGGUGGCCGGAGGUGGCUGAAUCGCGGCCUGAGCUGGCCGAACAGCCCCC